rnacentral:rRNA from 1 species
AUUGAACGCUGGCGGCAUGCCUUACACAUGCAAGUCGAACGGCAGCACGGGUGCUUGCACCUGGUGGCGAGUGGCGAACGGGUGAGUAAUACAUCGGAACAUGUCCUGUAGUGGGGGAUAGCCCGGCGAAAGCCGGAUUAAUACCGCAUACGAUCUACGGAUGAAAGCGGGGGACCUUCGGGCCUCGCGCUAUAGGGUUGGCCGAUGGCUGAUUAGCUAGUUGGUGGGGUAAAGGCCUACCAAGGCGACGAUCAGUAGCUGGUCUGAGAGGACGACCAGCCACACUGGGACUGAGACACGGCCCAGACUCCUACGGGAGGCAGCAGUGGGGAAUUUUGGACAAUGGGCGAAAGCCUGAUCCAGCAAUGCCGCGUGUGUGAAGAAGGCCUGCGGGUUGUAAAGCACUUUUGUCCGGAAAGAAAUCCUUGGCCCUAAGACGGUCGGGGGAGGACGGGACCGGAAGAAUAAGCACCGGCGAACUACGU